UACGUAGGGUGCAAGCGUUAAUCGGAAUUACUGGGCGUAAAGCGUGCGCAGGCGGUUUUGUAAGUUUUGUCGUGAAAUCCCCCGGGCUCAACCUGGGAAUGGCGAUGAAGACUGCAAGGCUAGAAUCUGGCAGAGGGGGGGUAGAAUUCCACGUGUAGCAGUGAAAUGCGUAGAGAUGUGGAGGAACACCGAUGGCGAAGGGCAGCCCCCUGGGUCAAGAUUG
rnacentral:rRNA from 1 species